UCACGAAAUGGUAUGAGCUAAUUAUAUAUAAUUCGUAGAUUGUAACUAGUAUGUGGUAUAAUACUAAAACAAGAUGUAAUUAGGUGUGACAGGCAACCCAAAUUCCAAGAUAUCUUGAUAGUACUAAAAAGUAUUAAGUACAUAAACAAAUAUAAAGUUUUAAGGUUUUAUAUGUGUUUUAACCAAAAUUUAAAAUUCAGUGGUUUAAUCGCCAAUUGCACGUAAAUAAAAAUAUUCAUUUUUUAGGGUUUAAACUUUUCUAGUACUGCUAACCUAAUUAAAUUAUUUAGUAAUAAUGUUACCAUUAGUAUACACUAAGGCGUCCAAAAUGAAUUCGGCCAUAAUCACUCUCAACUGUUUACCAAAAACAUAGCUAUAUGUGGUUAUAUAUAGUUAUUUCUGCUCAAUGUUAAAUAAAUAGCCGCAGUACUCUGACUGUGCAAAGGUAGCAUAAUCAAUUGGCUUAUAAUUGAAGUCUAGUAUGAAAGAAUACAUGGGGGUGGACUAUAUGUAUGGACGAAACCAAAAAUUAUUUAAUAGGUGAAAAGACCUAUAACUAAACAAUAGACGAGAAGACCCUAGAAAUUUUAAGUAUAUUUUAUUUAAUUGGUUUUUGUUGGGGCGACACAGUAGCAGUGACAACCUACUGAGAUGAAUAUGAUAAUUAUAUUUCGGAUAACUAAAUUACUCUAGGGAUAACAGCAUAAUAUUAAAAAGUUUGUGACCUCGAUGUUGGAUUAGGAUACUACUACCCAGAAGGUUAAUAGUUAAGCUCUGUUCGAGCUAUUUACUCCUACAUGAUCUGAGUUCAGACCGGCGUAAGCCAGGUCAGUUUCU
rnacentral:rRNA from 1 species